UCCCUGGUGGUCCAGUGGUUAGGACUCCACACUUCGAUUGCAGAGGGCCCAGGUUCGAUCCCUGGUCGGGGAA